rnacentral:rRNA from 1 species
GACAGAGGAGCCAAGCGUUGUCCGGAGUAACUGGGCGUAAAGCGUCCGCAGGCGGCGCGACACGUGGGGUGUGAAAGCUGGCGGCUUAACUGCCAGAGGCCACCUCAUACGGUCGGGCUUGAGCCCGGCAGAGGUCCGUGGAAUUGCCGGUGUAGUGGUGAAAUGCGUAGAGAUCGGCAGGAACACCCAGGGGGAAACCAGCGGACUGGGCCGGUGCUGACGCUCAGGGACGAAAGCGUGGGGAGCCAACGGG